UGUUAUGUGUAUUAUUAUUUGUUGCAAAAUCCUACGUCUCCAAUAGUUCUUUUAUUAUCUCCCUUUGACAGAGCUAAAAACUGAGGCAUAGAGGUUAACUAACUUGCCCAAGGUCAUACAGUUGGAAGAGUCUGGAUUCAUACCCAGGUAACCUGCCUCCACGUUCAGUGCCACUGCUCGCCUCCUACUUGAUGUCUCCACUUGGCUAUUUUAAAGGCAUCUGAAAUUUGACACAUCUAAGUUAAAAAGAGUUUGGAGCAACCAGGGCUGAAGGAGUGCCUGGGACAUGGAACUCUCACUGCUAACAUUGGAAAAGUCCCUGAUAAACUGGAAUCAAUGCUUGCUCUUGGGGCAGCAGGCACGGAACCAUUUUUGUCAACUAGAUAGAGGGCAGAGACCAUGUUCAUCUCAUUCACCACUCCAGUAUCUCCAGGGUCUAGCAUGGUGCCUGGCAAGUACUCAAUAAAUGUUUGUUGACUGACUGAGUAUGACCUUUUCCAAAGGAGAAAUGCCAUUUUCAUUGAGAAGCCAGAGUAACAUCACCUUGCCCAUAAGGAGCUAGCUGUUGAUUCUCAGACAUUGAUUCCAGGCUUGGUGCAGUGGCUCACGGCUGUAAUCCCAACACUUUGGGAGGCCAAGUUAGGCAGAUCACUUGAGGUCAAGAGUUCAAGACAAGUCUGGCCAACAGGGUGAAACCUUGUCUCUACUAAAAGCACAAAAAUUACCCAGACGUGAUGGCACAUGCCUGUAAUCCCAGCUACUGGGGAGGCUGGGGCAGGAGAAUUGCUUGAACCUGGGAGGCAGAGGUUGCAGUGAGCCAAUAUCACCCCAUUGCACUCCUUCCUGGGCAAAGAAGCAAGACUGUCUCCAAAAAAAAAAAAAAAGUUCCAGAUGACUAAGUGAACAGGAUAUGCAGAAAUCUUACUUCCUUCCUAUCCUUAAAAUCUUAUUGUUCUAAAACUUGGCCGGAAAAUGAAAAUCACAGAAAAAAACUAAUAAUAGUUUUAACCUUCGUGCUGGUUGGCAUGGCUUCUGGCCAGCUUGAGCAAGGGUCAUCUAUUAUGGACAAGACUGAAUUUCAGUUGAAGUGGACACAUAUUCCACUUGCCAUAGGAUAAGGAGACAUAUUUUCCUCUACAAUUCUAAUAUCUUUCUAGAUAGGACUCAAGGUUACCUCUGGAAGGAGAGGAAAAACUUAUUUGGCCAACUCCGAGCCCUUUCUUUCUUUUCGUUUGGUACUGGCAAAGUAAACCAGCAGAUUACACCCAAGACUGAGGUUCUGAACCUGUAUACAGGCAUUGCUCCUCCUAGACAGCAAUGGACGGGGAUUGCUGAGGGGCACUUUAUCACGGGAUCACUCUUGUGUUGCUUGAUGGAGUCUGAUGCUGGUUCAGCAAAGACUGGCGUGGACCUUGUGGUGGACUCACUCCACACUAUCCAUAUCUCCUCUCCCUACUGCAAGACAGCAGUGUCAUUAGGGACUUAGGUCCAGCUCCUGAAGGUAGGCCUGGAUUAGUUUCUGGCUAAACCAAUCCCAGAAACCGUAUUAGCUUUCCCAGUGAUUGGCUUUAGGGAGAAGCAGGUUUCAAUGACUGAACUGAAACAGCCAGUGAGAUGCAAUGAGGAUUUUGAUAGGGCUGCUGGGAAAGACAUUUCUUUGAUUUUUAAGAGAGCCAUGGGUAGCCAUAGGGAGUCACUCCUGAACAUGAACAAGGAAGCCUGGCUACUGGCGACCCUCUCAUAACUCAAGGGCACUAGAUUUAAGACACUGUGACUAGAACAGUAGACGGAUGGACAGAACCCGGGUCCUCAGUGACAAUGUUGAUUCACUGCACCUACAAACCUAUGAAACUUCAAUCCUGCCCUCUGUCUGUGCUUCUGAGUAUACAUGUCCUUAUUGUUCAAAACACUUUGAGUUGAGCUUCCUGCUACUGGUAAUGAAAAAAAUUCUGAUACAUUUUGAGGCAGGAUAUUUCCCUGACCCCUUCAUUGACGGGAACUGGAAUGUAGCUGCGCUGGAACCAGCCAGCUGCUUUGGCGCUGGGAGGGGCAAUUCCACUCACCUGGACCUGCUGUGCUGCAACCCUCAUGG